UCGGUAAUUCCAGCUCCAAUAGCGUAUAUUUAAGUUGUUGUAGUUAAAAAGCUCGUAGUUGGAUUUCGGGUGGGAACGACCGGUCCGCCGCUCUGGUGUGUACUGUUCGCGCCCAUCUUGCUGUCGGGGACGCGCUCGUGGCCUUAACUGGUUGUGACGUGGAAUCGGCGAUGUUACUUUGAAAAAAUUAGGGUGUUCAAAGCAGGCUUACGCAUUGAAUACAUUAGCAUGGAAUAACGCGAUAGGACUCCGAUCCUAUUGUGUUGGUCUUCGGGACUGGAGUAAUGAUUAAGAGGGACAGUUGGGGGCAUUCGUAUUUCAUUGUCAGAGGUGAAAUUCUUGGAUUUAUGAAAGACGAACUUCUGCGAAAGCAUUUGCCAAGGAUGUUUUCAUUAAUCAAGAACGAAAGUUGGGGGCUCGAAGACGAUCAGAUACCGUCCUAGUCUCAACCAUAAACGAUGCCGACUAGGGAUUGGCGGAUGUUAAUUCGAUGACUCCGCCAGCACCUUAUGAGAAACCAAAGUUUUUGGGUUCCGGGGGGAGUAUGGUCGCAAGGCUGAAACUUAAAGGAAUUGACGGAAGGGCACCACCAGGAGUGGAGCCUGCGGCUUAAUUUGACUCAACACGGGA
rnacentral:rRNA from 1 species